GAGCGCGAAAGCACCUUCGGGUGUGAGUAGAGCGGCGGACGGGUGAGUAACGCGUAGGAAUCUACCCAGUAGUGGGGGACAACAGUCGGAAACGGCUGCUAAUACCGCAUACGCCCUACGGGGGAAAGCGGGGGCUCUUCGGACCUCGCGCUAUUGGAUGAGCCUGCGUUGGAUUAGCUAGUUGGUGGGGUAAAGGCCCACCAAGGCGACGAUCCAUAGCUGGUCUGAGAGGAUGAUCAGCCACACUGGAACUAAGACACGGUCCAGACUCCUACGGGAGGCAGCAGUGGGGAAUAUUGCGCAAUGGGCGAAAGCCUGACGCAGCCAUGCCGCGUGUGUGAAGAAGGCCUUAGGGUUGUAAAGCACUUUCAAUAGGGAGAAAAGGCUCAUCGUUAAUAGCGUUGGGAGUUGAUGUUACCUAUAGAAGAAGCACCGGCUAACUCCGUGCCAGCAGCCGCGGUAAUACGGAGGGUGCGAGCGUUAAUCGGAAUUACUGGGCGUAAAGCGCGCGUAGGCGGUUUGUUAAGUCGGAUGUGAAAUCCCUGGGCUCAACCUGGGAACUGCACCCGAUACUGGCGAACUAGAGUACGAGAGAGGGAGGUAGAAUUCCACGUGUAGCGGUGAAAUGCGUAGAUAUGUGGAGGAAUACCGGUGGCGAAGGCGGCCUCCUGGCUCGAUACUGACGCUCAGGUGCGAAAGCGUGGGGGAGCAAACAGGAUUAGAUACCCUGGUAGUCCACGCCGUAAACGAUGUCUACUAGCCGUUGGGAGACUUGAUUUCUUAGUGGCGCAGCUAACGCACUAAGUAGACCCCCCUGGGGGAGUACGGCCCGCAAGGUUAAAACUCAAAUGAAUUGACGGGGGCCCCGCCCCAAGCGGUGGGAGCAUGUGGUUUAAUUCGAUGCAACGCGAAGAACCUUACCCAGGCCUUGACAUCCUGCGAACCCUUUAGAGAUAGAGGGGUGCCCUUCGGGAGCGCAGUGACAGGUGCUGCAU
rnacentral:rRNA from 1 species